rnacentral:rRNA from 1 species
UACAGAGGGGGCAAGCGUUGUUCGGAAUUACUGGGCGUAAAGGGCGCGUAGGCGGCCUGCUAAGUCGAACGUGAAAUCCCUGGGCUCAACCCAGGAACUGCGUCCGAUACUGGUUGGCUUGAAUCCGGGAGAGGGACGUGGAAUUCCAGGUGUAGCGGUGAAAUGCGUAGAUAUCAGGAGGAAUACCGAUGGCGAAGGCAGGUCUCUGGGCUGACACUGACGCUCAUGCACGAAAGCGUGGGGAGCAAACAGG